rnacentral:sRNA from 1 species
CUGCUUGCAAAUGGAAGAAUGACCUUCAGUAAUGUUCACAUAAACAGAUCUUCCAUAUGACAGCACUUGCCCUGCCAAGUGUCAGGUCACUGGGCAAAUAAAAGGAGGGUGGAGUGUAGGUCUUGAACACUAGAGAGGCCAGGUGUUUGGACUAAUCUGUAGCAUUUUAUGUUUCUUGCAGAUGUUCCCACAAGCCUGCAUUUCCAGAGCAUGCUGAAAUCUCAGUGGCAGAACAAGCCUUUUGACAAAAUCAAACCUCCCAAAAAGUUAUCGCUUAAGCACAGAGCACCCAUGCCGGGCAGUCUGCCAGAUCCAGCUCGUAAGGACAGGCACAAAUUGGUCAGCUCCUUCCUAACAACAGCCAUGUUGAAGCAUCACACAGACAUGAGCAGUUCGAGCUACUUGGCAGCCACCCACCAUCCUCCACACAGUCCCUUGGUGCGACAGCUCUCCACCUCCUCAGACUCCCCUGCACCCGCCAGCUCUAGCUCACAGGUUACAGCCAGCACAUCGCAGCAGCCAGUAAGGAGGAGAAGGGGAGAGAGCUCAUUCGAUAUUAACAACAUUGUCAUCCCAAUGUCUGUUGCUGCAACAACUCGCGUAGAGAAACUGCAAUACAAGGAAAUCCUUACUCCCAGCUGGCGGGAGGUUGAUCUUCAGUCUCUGAAGGGGAGUCCUGAUGAGGAGAAUGAGGAGAUUGAGGACCUAUCCGACGCAGCCUUCGCCGCCCUGCAUGCCAAAUGUGAGGAGAUGGAGAGGGCACGGUGGCUGUGGACCACGAGUGUGCCACCCCAGCGGCGGGGUAGCAGGUCCUACAGGUCAUCAGACGGCCGGACAACCCCCCAGCUGGGCAGUGCCAACCCCUCCACCCCCCAGCCUGCCUCCCCUGAUGUCAGCAGUAGCCACUCUUUGUCAGAAUACUCCCAUGGUCAGUCCCCUAGGAGCCCCAUUAGCCCGGAACUGCACUCAGCACCCCUCACCCCUGUGGCUCGGGACACUCCGCGACACUUAGCCAGUGAGGAUACCCGUUGUUCCACGCCAGAGCUGGGGCUGGAUGAACAGUCUGUCCAGCCCUGGGAGCGGCGGACCUUCCCCCUGGCGCACAGUCCCCAGGCGGAGUGUGAGGACCAGCUGGAUGCACAGGAGCGAGCAGCCCGCUGCACUCGACGCACCUCAGGCAGCAAGACUGGCCGGGAGACAGAGGCAGCGCCCACCUCGCCUCCCACUGUCCCCCUCAAGAGUCGGCAUCUGGUGGCAGCAGCCACAGCUCAGCGCCCGACUCACAGAUGAGCGGGAGACAGGCAUCUAAACAGACUCACUAACUAUUGGCAUUAAAGCUUCAGAAAUCUCUGCGUUUGAUAUUCAAACAUCAUAUGCCGGAAAUUUUCACAGUUUUUAGUGAACUUAAGGAAUUUAGAUCCUACUUUGGUAUUUUUUUUUUUCUUGUUUUAAUUUUUGUUUUGUUUUUGUUUCCAUGUUUUCUUGUCACACACCUGAGCACUUCCUCCUGUUGGCAAACAGAAGUUCAGGAUGAGACCCUGCUGGCCUGGUCCUGGCACAUCCUCUGCACUGUUGAAUCACUGGACUUACGGAUCUUAGAUGACCACCCCCUCCCUCACACCUGUGGGCAGGGCAGAACAGCCUGGCGGUCAGAGGGCUACAGUUGAGCCUGGCCUUCUUGAGCUAGGGUGGAAUGGGGCAGGGUGUUCUGGACUCUUACCCCCUCCCCUCCCAUCUGUGGCUUGGCUCUGCUGUGGCCCUCCUGGCUGGGUCCCCUUGGUUUUUCGUGCUGGAACAUCCCCACCAGAGCCUCUCUGCCAUAACUGCCAGCUGCUCUCCCCAAGUGCUCAGCUGGCAGAACACCUUUCCUUUCUCACCCAGAACUUAGAGACCGAUUUUUUGUUUCAUCUGCAUUUGGUCUUCUCUGUUUUGACUCUUUCACUGCAGUAACCUGGCUGUGGCUGCUCAGGUUCCCCUCCCCAUGCCCCUUGGUACCCUUCCCUGUCUGCUCUCUCAUGCCAUGUACACACCCACAACCCGUCCUUCCACUUGGAAUGUUUUUACCACCUAUCCUGAUGUUUGAAGGUAGGGUUAGGACUACUUAACCUCUAUUCCCACUCCCCUGCAAACUGGGGGUUGUGGGAAGUGAGCAGCCAUCUCCCUGUGUGAUUUUUUUUUUUUUCCCCUCUGAUUUACUUUGCCAUGUUUCCUUCACAUCCAGAUCCCUGUCGGUGUUAGUUCCACUCUUGGUCUUUCACGCUCCCCUUGCCUGUGGAACAUUGUCUGGUCCUAGCUGUGGUUCCCAUUGUUCCCCCUUCACCCUUCUCUGUUAACCUUGUGCCUGUCUCCUGUAUGAUCACAUCACCAAAAAGGGGGAGGGGGGAGAAGACUUUUUUUUUUUUUUUUUGGCCAUUUUGUAAUCGUAUAAAAAUAGUAGACAACUGCUUAAUGGUUGGGGUUUUUUCACAAUUUUCAACAUUAGUGAUUUUUUUUUUCUGUUUGCAAGUUAAAGGGUUUGUCAUUGUUUCUUUAAAAAAAAAAUACAAUAAUGCACCAUAUCCCUAUGCAUAAAGUGCUUCUUCUAUUUAUAAGGUUGAAAAUUCUGAAUAACCCUUUUAGCAUUGAAAAAAAAAAAACAAAAACAAAAAAUGAAAAAAAAAAAACCCUUGUAUUUUGUAAAUAUUUUCUUUUCCUGCUUUGGAGCUGUGUAAUGGCAGCGAAACAUGUAGCUGUCUUUGUUCUAUAGAAAUGCUUUUCUUCAGAGAAGCUGAUCUUUGUUAAUGUCUUGAUUCUGUUCGCAAAGCACAGACUAGUGCUUAAAAAAAAAGAAGGAAAAAUUGAAAAAAAUAAAAAAAAAAAAGUUACAG